UUGAACGCUGGCGGCAGGCCUAACACAUGCAAGUCGAGCGGUAACACAGAGAGCUUGCUCUCGGGUGACGAGCGGCGGACGGGUGAGUAAUGUCUGGGAAACUGCCUGAUGGAGGGGGAUAACUACUGGAAACGGUAGCUAAUACCGCAUAACGUCGCAAGACCAAAGUGGGGGACCUUCGGGCCUCAUGCCAUCAGAUGUGCCCAGAUGGGAUUAGCUAGUAGGUGGGGUAACGGCUCACCUAGGCGACGAUCCCUAGCUGGUCUGAGAGGAUGACCAGCCACACUGGAACUGAGACACGGUCCAGACUCCUACGGGAGGCAGCAGUGGGGAAUAUUGCACAAUGGGCGCAAGCCUGAUGCAGCCAUGCCGCGUGUGUGAAGAAGGCCUUCGGGUUGUAAAGCACUUUCAGCGGGGAGGAAGGCGGUGAGGUUAAUAACCUCAUCGAUUGACGUUACCCGCAGAAGAAGCACCGGCUAACUCCGUGCCAGCAGCCGCGGUAAUACGGAGGGUGCAAGCGUUAAUCGGAAUUACUGGGCGUAAAGCGCACGCAGGCGGUCUGUCAAGUCGGAUGUGAAAUCCCCGGGCUCAACCUGGGAACUGCAUUCGAAACUGGCAGGCUAGAGUCUUGUAGAGGGGGGUAGAAUUCCAGGUGUAGCGGUGAAAUGCGUAGAGAUCUGGAGGAAUACCGGUGGCGAAGGCGGCCCCCUGGACAAAGACUGACGCUCAGGUGCGAAAGCGUGGGGAGCAAACAGGAUUAGAUACCCUGUUAGUCCACGCCGUAAACGAUGUCGAUUUGGAGGUUGUGCCCUUGAGGCGUGGCUUCCGGAGCUAACGCGUUAAAUCGACCGCCUGGGGAGUACGGCCGCAAGGUUAAAACUCAAAUGAAUUGACGGGGGCCCGCACAAGCGGUGGAGCAUGUGGUUUAAUUCGAUGCAACGCGAAGAACCUUACCUGGUCUUGACAUCCACAGAACUUUCCAGAGAUGGAUUGGUGCCUUCGGGAACUGUGAGACAGGUGCUGCAUGGCUGUCGUCAGCUCGUGUUGUGAAAUGUUGGGUUAAGUCCCGCAACGAGCGCAACCCUUAUCCUUUGUUGCCAGCGGUUCGGCCGGGAACUCAAAGGAGACUGCCAGUGAUAAACUGGAGGAAGGUGGGGAUGACGUCAAGUCAUCAUGGCCCUUACGACCAGGGCUACACACGUGCUACAAUGGCAUAUACAAAGAGAAGCGACCUCGCGAGAGCAAGCGGACCUCAUAAAGUAUGUCGUAGUCCGGAUUGGAGUCUGCAACUCGACUCCAUGAAGUCGGAAUCGCUAGUAAUCGUAGAUCAGAAUGCUACGGUGAAUACGUUCCCGGGCCUUGUACACACCGCCCGUCACACCAUGGGAGUGGGUUGCAAAAGAAGUAGGUAGCUUAACCUUCGGGAGGGCGCUUACCACUUUGUGAUUCAUGACUGGGGUG
rnacentral:rRNA from 1 species